CUUAAGACCGUUUUGAACCAAAAUACCUCAUAGUUGAAUAUAGAUGCUCUGGCAGCUUUGAUAUCAACUCCUGCAACCGAUGCUAACAGUGUCUUACGUUCUUCUAUAUCAACACAUGCUCCAACUAAUGAUCAAGUCAUGAAUGAUAAUAUCAAUGAAGAUUUUCAAUCAUUCGAAGAUGAAGAGACUUAGAUGUAGAUGUAGAUGUAGAUGUUUCACUUUAUUUUUAUAGAUUGAAUAUGUUAUUUUGAUUAUGAAUGAUGAUUUAGAAUAGAAUAUAUUUCAAAAUGUUUUGUUGAUUGUGAAUUAAUGGUUGACAUUGUGAUAUGUAAUUUGAAGUUGUUUUGUUCA